rnacentral:rRNA from 1 species
UCUACGGGGGGCUGCAGUGGGGAAUAUUGGACAAUGGGCGAAAGCCUGAUCCAGCUAUGCCGCGUGUGUGAAGAAGGCCUUCGGGUUGUAAAGCACUUUCAGUGGGGAAGAAAGCCUUGGGGCUAAUACCCUCGAGGAAGGACAUCACCCACAGAAGAAGCACCGGCUAACUCCGUGCCAGCAGCCGCGGUAAUACGGAGGGUGCGAGCGUUAAUCGGAAUUACUGGGCGUAAAGCGCGCGUAGGCGGUCUGAUAAGCCGGUUGUGAAAGCCCCGGGCUCAACCUGGGAACGGCAUCCGGAACUGUCAGGCUAGAGUGCAGGAGAGGAAGGUAGAAUUCCCGGUGUAGCGGUGAAAUGCGUAGAGAUCGGGAGGAAUACCAGUGGCGAAGGCGGCCUUCUGGACUGACACUGACGCUGAGGUGCGAAAGCGUGGGUAGCAAACAGGAUUAGAUACCCCGGUAGUC